rnacentral:rRNA from 1 species
CCCUUAGAUGUUCUGGGCUGCACGCGUGCUACACUGAUAUUGCCAAUAUGUCAUUCUUAUCCGAAAUGGAUUGGGUAGUCAAGUAAUGAAAUUUCAUGCUUGGAAUCGGUAAUUGCAAUUUUAUCGUGAACGAGGAAUUCCUAGUAAGCACUAGUCAUCAGCUAAUGUUGAUUAUGUCCCUGCCCUUUGUACACACCGCCCGUCGCUCCUACCGAUUGAAUGCUCAGGUGAGCCAUUCGGACUUUCAUCAUGCUGGUUUCCAGUUUUGAUGAAGGAAAGUCUUGCGAACCUUAUCAUUUAGAGGAAGGAGAAGUCGUAACA